rnacentral:lncRNA from 1 species
GCCCCGGGGAACCGGCAGCGUGGCUUCGUGGCUCUGCCCCAGGCUGGAACUGAGCGGGAUGCAAACGCGCGCGCUGCUGCGACUGCUCUCCCGGCUCCUUUCCCCCACAGUCCUCCGCGCGCCUCACCUUCACGGAGUCCACCGGGUACAUGAUGGAGUGCUCCAGAAUCCCGGCCAUCGCUCCCGCUGUCAUGUGGGUGGACACCGAGGCGCUGGUCGCUGUCAUAGAGGAACCUUGCUGGCCCCCUUCCAGCUUCUAGAAGCUCCCUACUACCUCAAUGUUCUUUGUAUGAGGUCAGAAAGCAAGAAAGACAACGGAGGAACAAGCCACUCCCUGGCAGCACAGGCCUGGGAGCAGAGAUCUCUGUUUAAGAGAGCCCACUCUCUACCUACAGGCAGGGCACUGAAAACUUCUUUGGCAAUUGCUAAGAGUAGCUAAGCAGUAAGUAUGUCUCCAGGAGAUGUGUUGGCUCCCCUGCAACUACCCAUCUAUAGCAUCUAGAAGGAAACAAAGUAUGGUGGAAAGGAAGCAGUGCUGAUUCUUACUCAUGGGAUGCUCAAGCCUUGAAUUAGUGCCUCCAUUUCUCUGGACCAUAUUCCUGU